GUUCCUUUCUUUCCCCUUGUUGUUCAGUGGAGUUAAGAUUCAUAAAGCCGAUCCGAACUGUUUGAGACUGAGGCAUAGUUGGUGUUUUUGUAUUCAUCAUGAUCCCUUCCCUAAAGGCAAUUUCCUUUCAUAUUUACCUAUUGUUUCAGGUAUGCAACAACAAAGCUUUCAUCGUAGCCUUCUUGAUGACCUUCUGUUCUAUAUUUGAUGUCCCGGUGUUCUGGCCAAUAUUGUUAUGUUACUGGAUAUUUCUCUUGGUCCUCACUAUGAAGCGUCAGAUCACACAUAUGAUUAGAUACAAGUAUGAUCCAUUCAGGAAGAAGAAGUAUGGGAAUAAAUCUGAUUGAGAAGCAGUAGUGGCUUAACAGGGGACUAAUGUCAGGGUCGAUCCUUGCGUCUUUUCAAGGGUAGUGGAUGUCCCCUCCUUUGUUCUGAGAAACUCGUGUAAAUAUUCUUCUUCUUGAACAUGUAUCUAACGCAUAUGUAAAUGUUGCGAGAUAUGUAGAUGUGCUUCCUGCAAAUGUAAAAGCCAGUGUAGAGAGUUAGCAUGAACUCUUUUGUUGUUUCCUUUUGAUUUCUUACAUGGAUUCAGGUAUAAAAAACUCUGUUAUUAUCACCAUUGCACAAAAGAUUAGGUGAUGUUUUCUUCCUUGACAGUUGCUCCA